CCAUUUCAUCGGUUCGAACCUAUGAACCAAAAAAAAACAUGUUAAAACUUCAGCAACGGAUCUCUUGGUUCUCGCAUCGAUGAAGAACGCAGCGAAAUGCGAUAAGUAGUGUGAAUUGCAGAAUUCAGUGAAUCAUCGAAUCUUUGAACGCACAUUGCGCCUUUCGGUAUUCCGGAGGGCAUGCCUGUUCGAGAGUCAUUAACAACCAGUUCAAUCCCCUUUUAGAAAUAUUUCGCGGAUUGGUUAUUGGUGAAUGAGGGGAUCCGUGCAUAACGUUGAAUCACCUCACCACCGAAAUUCAGAGGCGGUUUGUCCCCACGUGUUUGUGGCGUUGUAAAAGCUUUACCAGCACUAUUCGCUCGCAUCGUGGGUCCACUGCUUGCCAUUGGAGAAAUCCCCAUUCAUCAAAGGUGACCUCGGAUCAGGU
rnacentral:rRNA from 1 species